AUCAAGUUGAAAUGGUGGGAGUUCCAGAGUAGUAUUUAUCGGGUCAUGCCUUUCAUAUGUAUCAUUUGACAUCACCUAUGGUGGGAGUUCCAGAUGCUGUACUAUUUCUUGCUAAAAAGAUUGAAGCAAAGGAUUCCAAGAGAAUCUACAAUAUGAUUGAUGUUUUGCGAGAGGGUAAUAUGCGAUAAAAAGUUCUAUGGAGUAUGAUGCAAGAUGUGGAAAUUUGGGAUUCUAAUAAAGCAAUUUUCAUCUUGUGUCCAAUUUUCGUAUCAAUUUAUUUGAGGAAAGCUUAGUUUGUACUAUUGUGGCUUAUCUAUAACAUGAUUUGAGUAAGAACAAUAUAAUAUAAAGACGUACGGUUACUAAUUUCUUUUAUUUUAA